UGGGGAAUAUUGGACAAUGGGGGGAACCCUGAUCCAGCCAUGCCGCGUGUGUGAAGAAGUCCUUAUGGUUGUAAAGCACUUUAAGCGAGGAGGAGGGUACUGGUAUUAAUACUACCAGGUACUGGACGUUACUCGCAGAAUAAGCACCGUCUAACUCUCUGCCAGCACCCGCGGUAAUACUCCGGGUGCGAGCGUUAAUCGGAUUUACUGGGCGUAAAGCGUCCGUAGGCGGCUGAUUGAGUCGGAUGUGAAAUCCACGAGCUUAACUUGGGAAUUGCAUUCGAUACUGGUUAGCUAGAGUGUGGAAGAGGAUGGUAGAAUUCCAGGUGUAGCGGUGAAAUGCGUAGAGAUCUGGAGGAAUACCGAUGGCGAAGGCAGCCAUCUGGCCUAACACUGACGCUGAGGUACGAAAGCAUGGGGAGCAAACAGG
rnacentral:rRNA from 1 species